AGAUCUGUUAACCAAGAAAUCUACUAAGUAAAUCACAGGCAGGGAGGGUAGAUAGCCUGGAGACGCUGGACAGAGAGGAUUAACCUCCUGGGGAUACUGAGGGGCUACUUGUGAGAUGGCAAAAAAGAGAUAUGGCAACCAGAAUUUCCCUCAGUCGCCCCUGACAAGUUCUCCUACAUCUUCACACAAAGUAAGAGGGCCGCCACUUCACAGUGAUCUCAGCACUCCUAAUGCCAUUUGGAAAAUUCUGGACUUGGAUUAAGCACUACUCAGGCAGGACAGUUCACAGAUAUCUGUGAGCCAUGACUUAAGGCCCAUCAUCUCUGAAGCUAUUUCCAAGUUAGUUAGCAUCAUAUGGACAAACAGAGGGAGAGGCAGAAAGAGAAAUUUCUUUUCCUGCAAUGUAUGUGUUAUGUUAACAAUAGGAUACAAUGAAGUUAGGGAAUCACGUAUGAAUGUAAAUGCCCCUGCAUCCCCACCGUGUUCAGUACUUUAUGUAUUACCUUUGUCUUUUCCAUGAUAUGCUUCUUACACAUUCCCCCAGUCUUUCCAUGGUUAUCUGUCAAUUGUCAAAUGCUGUUUACCUAGAGCAUCGGGGUUCUCAUUUGCUAGACUUUUUUUUUGCAGUUUAUUAUUCUUUACCUCUGUUUACUAAACUCCAGCAUCUCACCUACAUUAUGUAACUUUUUAUCAAAGUUAAGUGAAAUGUAGAUCUUGAA